UUUUGGUGUAAUUACUGUAUCAAUUCAAAAGGUGAGCCAUAAGCUUCGUUGUUUUAUCAUAUAACAGUUAGAAAUUAAUUUUGUAGGUUAUAUCAUUCUAAAUGGGAAAACUGCUAGCAGAAUUAGUAAUUACGGAGGUAAUUACUCAAAUUACACCUAGAAUCUAACAACAACUUAUGCAAGGUGACUGGAUGAAAUGUGAAGUUUUAUACUAUAAGAGCCAUGCAACAUUUGUAGGUACAGAAAAAUUAUAAUUCAAUACAUAUCCUUAUACCAA